rnacentral:rRNA from 1 species
GGGUUGUGAGGUUAAGCGACUAAGCGUACACGGUGGAUGCCCUGGCAGUCAGAGGCGAUGAAGGACGUGCUAAUCUGCGAUAAGCGUCGGUGAGGUGAUAUGAACCGUUAUAACCGGCGAUUUCCGAAUGGGGAAACCCAGUGUGUUUCGACACACUAUCAUUAACUGAAUCCAUAGGUUAAUGAGGCGAACCGGGGGAACUGAAACAUCUAAGUACCCCGAGGAAAAGAAAUCAACCGAGAUUCCCCCAGUAGCGGCGAGCGAACGGGGAGGAGCCCAGAGCCUGAAUCAGUGUGUGUGUUAGUGGAAGCGUCUGGAAAGGCGCGCGAUACAGGGUGACAGCCCCGUACACAAAAAUGCACAUACUGUGAGCUCGAUGAGUAGGGCGGGACACGUGGUAUCCUGUCUGAAUAUGGGGGGACCAUCCUCCAAGGCUAAAUACUCCUGACUGACCGAUAGUGAACCAGUACCGUGAGGGAAAGGCGAAAAGAACCCCGGCGAGGGGAGUGAAAAAGAACCUGAAACCGUGUACGUACAAGCAGUGGGAGCCUCUUAAUGGGGUGACUGCGUACCUUUUGUAUAAUGGGUCAGCGACUUAUAUUCUGUAGCAAGGUUAACCGAAUAGGGGAGCCGAAGGGAAACCGAGUCUUAACUGGGCGUUAAGUUGCAGGGUAUAGACCCGAAACCCGGUGAUCUAGCCAUGGGCAGGUUGAAGGUUGGGUAACACUAACUGGAGGACCGAACC